rnacentral:rRNA from 1 species
GAUGAACGCUGGCGGCGUGCCUAACACAUGCAAGUCGAGCGAGGAUAUGGAAAAGCUUGCUUUGAAAUAUCCUAGCGGCGGACGGGUGAGUAACGCGUGGGUAACCUGCCCUAUACAGGGGGAUAGCCUCGGGAAACCGGGAUUAAUACCCCAUAAAACUCUAAUAUCUCAUGAUAUGUGAGUCAAAGAUUUAUCGGUAUAGGAUGGACCCGCGUCUGAUUAGCUAGUUGGUGGGGUAAUGGCCCACCAAGGCGACGAUCAGUAGCCGACCUGAGAGGGUGAUCGGCCACACUGGAACUGAGACACGGUCCAGACUCCUACGGGAGGCAGCAGUGGGGAAUAUUGCACAAUGGGCGCAAGCCUGAUGCAGCAACGCCGCGUGAGCGAUGAAGGCCUUCGGGUCGUAAAGCUCUGUCCUAAGGGAAGAAUAAUGACGGUACCUUAGGAGGAAGCCCCGGCUAACUACGUGCCAGCCGCCGCUGUAACAC